AAAAAAAAAAAAAAAUACUUUUGUCAACUAGUUUUAGUUUUACUUCCCAAAUAAAAUAUGGAUAAACAUCUAUAACAUCUAAGUAUUUGACUAUGAUCCCAUGUCACACUUGGUGACAUAUAUAGUGAGACGAUCUGCACUAAGCCAAAUCGCAAUGUUGAUAUGCUUUUCUUCUGAAGUCACGUUUAAUCUCAUCUCACUGAAAAUGUUACUACAUUUGACAGGUGUGGAAAAAUGGCUCGAGAAAAACAAGUUCUCGUGGUGGUUGAAGCCGGUGCCUGGAAAUGUGAAAAUGCGUCGUUUGGAGAUUAUGUUACCCACCAUUUCCUUCUGUGUGUAAUGCAUCUCACAUUCACAGAACUUUGUUUUGGAAGCAGACUCAGGAAAGGAAGAUGGAAGUUAACAGGAAGUUUAUUGACAACAGUGAGCGGUACAGAAAAAAGCAGGUGAGAGGACUGAUGGAUGAUACGAUGGGUGACAAGACAGAUACAAUGGAGAAGGAACAAGGACAAAGCUGGGAGAUUGCCGGAUGAGCUCCUGCGUCCAUUUGGGCUGAAGGUCAAGACAGAACCAAACCAAAGCUGGACUGUAACCUACUGGCCUAUAUGACAGACUUCAUACUGACAACUACUGGCAUGGAUGCUGCAUCACAUGUUUUUGAACAAAAAUUUUUCACUUUGAAUUUCAAGUGUGGAGUAUUAAUCCCCCAUGAGGAGACUCUAUGUCUUCAUCUCUUGUGAGUGGAUAUCAAUUUUAAACAUUCUUUUACAGAACUGCUCAUUUCUUCUGAAUUUAUUUUGUAGUAUGUAAGAAUUUUCCAUUUAAAAGAAAAUAAACUUUUAGUUGUGUUUUUAAGUAAUGAAGUAAUUGUGUUGUAAUCCUGUUAAUAUACAGUAUAAAUUGCAAACGUAUGCUUGGGCACGUGUUUACAGGUUAUAGACAUUUUAGAGGAGGUAGCUGUGUAUUUAAAGGUGCUCUUAGUCAUGUUUAUUUGUACAAUUUUAUUUUUGUAUAUAAAUCAUUAUUACAGUAGAACAAAUUGCUAUUUUUUUAUUUGUAAAUGAGCAACUGAACCAUUGCACAGCACCACUUUAUCACCAAUAAUUUUGUACAACUUUGUAGUUUAUUGUUUUAUGUCACCUAAGAACAAAUGCAAGUUUAUAUUUUCUUUCAGAUUAUGUAAUUUCUGUAAUAAAGUCUGUAUCAUGGGAACUUC